ACCUGAAAACAUACAAAAAAGACUUCAAAACAACUAAUAUGUAUUUAAAUACACCUAUAUACCAUGGCUAAAAAUGGAUAAAAUCCAUGGUAUAUCAACACCCCCAAACUUACUCUUUUGUUUGUCCUCAAGCAAAACAAUGAGCAGUCUCUCUAAAAGGUAUUUUUGAAACAGCAGGGACUCACACAAUUUAAGAACUCACUAUCAUCACCUCAGCAAUAUUUCAAACCGCAUCAAAUCAAUCCUAACUCAUAAGUACACUCUAUGCAAUAUCCUAGUUUAGCGACCAAUUCCAAUCAUCCAACAACUUAGCAAAUCAUGUCUGACUAUACCCUCUACUGACCUCAUUUAAUACAUGUAAAUAAAAGUUUUAGGCUUUACCUCGGGAGUAUCGAUCACUGGACACAUGAAAUACUCUCAAGCAAAUAUAUGAACACACAGGUAGUCUUAUCCAGUUCCUUUCAUCCCUCUCUUCUCUCUUCUUCUCAAUCAAUGUCUCCCUUUUUUAAAGGGUAUCAUUUUAUUUUUUUAAUUGACUGAGAUAUUUGGACAGACUUCCAUGAAUCAAACUCUAAUGGUUUUAGCCACUAGAUCCUGUUCACUUUUUUUGACAUUUAUCUAUUUCUAGAAUUUUUAUGAAUCAAGCUUUAAUGGUUGUAGCCACCAAAUAAUGUUCUAAUCCUUUUUGCAACUGAAGGGGGGAGAGAGGGGAACUAGCGACACACAAACCUUUUACUUUCCAGACUUUCAGGAGGAGUCCGAUCCAAUGUAUAGCAAGCCUCAAGACAAGCAAGUUAAGCUCAAUUAGGUUGGAGGUCAGCUUUGGUUCAAUCAAACAUUCUCAGCAAGUGUGAAUAACUGUCAGGCUGAUCCACUUUAGCAACUAUUGUACAUUCGGCAGUCAAUAAAUCUAUGAAUGGUGCUAAAGAGUGUUUAGAUGAGUUAGGAAAAUUGAAAAAGUUCAUUGUCCCUUGCUUGACUUAAUAAAACUUUAUGAAAACAUUU
rnacentral:lncRNA from 1 species